rnacentral:tRNA from 1 species
CAUAGCACAGUGGGUAGAAUAUUGGCCUGUAGGACUGGAGUCCUAGGUUUGAAUCCCAGUG